rnacentral:misc_RNA from 1 species
GAUGAAGAACGCAGCGAAAUGCGAUAAGUAAUGCGAAUUGCAGAAUUUCCGUGAGUCAUCGAAUCUUUGAACGCACAUUGCGCCCACUGGUAUUCCGGUGGGCAUGCCUGUUCGAGCGUCAUUAUCCUCCCUCAAACCUCUGUGUUUGGUGUUGGGCCGCGUUGGUGUCAAAGCCAACUGGUCUCAAAGACAAUGACGGCGUCCGUGGGACCCUCUUCGCAACGAGCAUCUUCGGAAGCACGCGUCGAGUCUAAAGGACCUUCCGGGCCGGUCUACCCUUUAUCUUUCUAAGGUUGACCUCGGAUCAGGUAGGAAUACCCGCUGAACUUAAGCAUAUCAAUAAGCGGAGGA